rnacentral:rRNA from 1 species
GACGAACGCUGGCGGCGUGCCUAACACAUGCAAGUCGAACGGAGAUUUCAGCAAUGGAAUCUUAGUGGCGAACGGGUGAGUAACGCGUAGACAACCUACCUUCUAGAUGGGGACAACACUGCGAAAGUGGUGCUAAUACCGAGUGUUGUAAUUAGGAUGCAUAUACUGAUUACUAAAGGUGGCCUCUAUUUAUAAGCUACCACUAGAAGAUGGGUCUGCGUCUGAUUAGCUAGUUGGUGAGGUAAUGGCUCACCAAGGCGACGAUCAGUAGCCGGUCUGAGAGGAUGAACGGCCACACUGGGACUGAGACACGGCCCAGACUCCUACGGGAGGCAGCAGUGGGGAAUCUUCCGCAAUGGACGAAAGUCUGACGGAGCAACGCCGCGUGAGUGAAGAAGGUUUUCGGAUCGUAAAACUCUGUUUUCAGGGACGAAUGUGCCGAUUGUAAAUAAUGGUUGGUAAUGACGGUACCUGACAAGAAAGCCACGGCUAACUACAUGCCAGCCGCCGCCGUAAAAC